GCAUACGUGAUGAUUUCCAUUCUUUUGUCGGAUACCCCUUCACUCCCUGAUGAGUGAGAUCUUUCUCUGACAUGC
rnacentral:snoRNA from 1 species